rnacentral:rRNA from 1 species
UAGGGAAUAUUGCGCAAUGGGCGAAAGCCUGACGCAGCGACACCGUGUGUAGGAUGAAGAUCUUCGGAUCGUAAACUAUUGUCAGUUGAAGACGAAGGCAGUAGAGUUAAGAGCUCGAAUGCUGACGGUAUUCAAUAAGGAAGUCUCGGCUAACUCCGUGCCAGCAGCCGCGGUAAUACGGAGGAGGCAAGCAUUGUCCGGAAUUAUUGGGCGUAAAGAACACGUAGGUGGUUUUUCAAGUCAUGUGUGAAAACUUUGGGCUUAACUCAAAGAUUGCAUAUGAUACUGAUUAACUAGAGUACAGUAGAGGAAAGUGGAAUUCCUGGUGUAGCGGUGAAAUGCGCAGAUAUCAGGAAGAACACCGGUGGCGAAAGCGGCUUUCUGGACUGUUACUGACGCUGAGGUGUGAAAGCUAGGGUAGCGAACAGG